rnacentral:lncRNA from 1 species
UACAAAUCGCCUCCUCCUCCUACCCCAACAUACGUAUACAAGUCUCCUCCACCACCAACUCCAACUUACGUAUACAAAUCACCACCACCGCCGACUCCAACUUACGUCUACAAGUCGCCUCCUCCACCUACGCCAACCUAUGUCUAUAAAUCUCCACCGCCACCAACCCCGACUUAUGUUUACAAGUCACCACCACCUCCGACUCCGACAUACAUUUACAAGUCUCCACCACCUCCUACUCCGACUUAUGUCUACAAGUCACCACCUCCACCAACCCCUACAUAUGUCUAUAAGUCACCACCUCCACCCACUCCGACCUACGUCUACAAGUCACCACCACCUCCAACUCACACUCCUACACCAUACUACUACCAUUCUCCACCACCACCAGUAAAAUCCCCUCCACCUCCUUAUUACUACCACUCACCACCACCACCGGUUAAAUCUCCACCACCACCAUACUACUAUCAUUCACCACCUCCUCUGGUGAAGUCUCCUCCACCACCAUACUAUUACCAUUCACCACCACCUCCAGUAAAAUCUCCUCCCCCCCCAUACUACUAUCACUCCCCACCUCCUCCAGUGAAGUCUCCUCCGCCACCUUACUAUUAUCACUCCCCACCUCCUCCAGUAAAAUCACCACCACCACCAUAUUAUUACCACUCUCCACCUCCUCCCGUGAAAUCCCCCCCACCUCCAUACUACUACCACUCACCACCCCCUCCGGUAAAAUCACCCCCACCACCAUAUUACUAUCACUCCCCACCUCCACCAGUGAAAUCCCCACCACCACCGUACUACUACCAUUCUCCACCCCCACCGGUAAAAUCUCCGCCACCACCAUACUAUUACCACUCCCCACCUCCUCCGGUGAAAUCUCUACCACCACCGUACUAUUACCAUUCACCACCUCCUCCGGUGAAAUCUCCUCCUCCACCAUACUACUAUCACUCACCUCCUCCACCAGUAAAAUCUCCUCCGCCACCGUACUAUUACCACUCUCCACCUCCUCCAGUGAAGUCGCCUCCACCUCCUUAUUACUACCACUCACCUCCUCCUCCGGUGAAAUCCCCACCACCACCAUAUUAUUACCACUCACCACCCCCACCCGUCAAAUCUCCUCCACCUCCAUAUUAUUACCACUCACCACCUCCUCCGGUGAAAUCUCCACCACCACCAUAUUAUUACCACUCACCUCCUCCUCCGGUGAAAUCUCCACCACCACCAUAUUACUACCAUUCACCUCCCCCUCCAGUCAAAUCUCCACCACCACCAUAUUACUACCAUUCACCUCCCCCUCCAGUGAAAUCCCCACCACCACCAUAUUACUACCAUUCACCACCUCCUCCAGUGAAAUCUCCACCACCACCAUACUACUACAACUCUCCACCACCACCAGUAAAAUCUCCCCCACCUCCCGUCUACAUCUACGCUUCUCCCCCACCUCCUACCCAUUACUAGGCUCGUCAAAUUCAACCAAGUUUCCCCAUUAUUCAAGUAAGUCCCAAGGCUCCAAUAUUCUAAGUAUGCUCCAUAUC